rnacentral:rRNA from 1 species
GAUUAACGCUGGCGGCAGGCAUAAUACAUGCAAGUUGAACGGCAGCACAGGUAGCAAUACUGGGUGGCGAGUGGCGCACGGGUGCGUAACACGUAUGCAACCUACCCUAUACAGGCGAAUAACCUUUAGAAAUGAGGGCUAAUACGCCGUAGUAUUACAGAUGGGCAUCUAUUUGUAAUUAAAGAUUUAUCGGUAUAGGAUGGGCAUGCGUCCCAUUAGUUAGUUGGUAAGGUAACGGCUUACCAAGACGAUGAUGGGUAGGGGAUCUGAGAGGACUUACCCCCACACUGGUACUGAGACACGGACCAGACUCCUACGGGAGGCAGCAGUAAGGAAUAUUGGGCAAUGGCCGCGAGGCUGACCCAGCCAUGCCGCGUGCAGGAAGACGGCCUUAUGGGUUGUAAACUGCUUUUAUACGGGAAUAAUAGAGUGUACGCGUACAUUUAUGCAAGUAUCGUAUGAAUAAGCAUCGGCUAACUCCGUG